AUUGAACGCUGGCGGCAUGCCUUACACAUGCAAGUCGAACGGUAACAGGUCUUCGGAUGCUGACGAGUGGCGAACGGGUGAGUAAUACAUCGGAACGUGCCCGAGAGUGGGGGAUAACGAGGCGAAAGCUUUGCUAAUACCGCAUACGAUCUCAGGAUGAAAGCAGGGGACCGCAAGGCCUUGCGCUCACUGAGCGGCCGAUGGCAGAUUAGGUAGUUGGUGGGAUAAAAGCUUACCAAGCCGACGAUCUGUAGCUGGUCUGAGAGGACGACCAGCCACACUGGGACUGAGACACGGCCCAGACUCCUACGGGAGGCAGCAGUGGGGAAUUUUGGACAAUGGGCGCAAGCCUGAUCCAGCCAUGCCGCGUGCAGGAUGAAGGCCUUCGGGUUGUAAACUGCUUUUGUACGGAACGAAAAGACUCCUUCUAAUAAAGGGGGUCCAUGACGGUACCGUAAGAAUAAGCACCGGCUAACUACGUGCCAGCAGCCGCGGUAACAC
rnacentral:rRNA from 1 species